CGUAAUAGCUCACUGGUCGAGCGAGCCUGCGCCGAAAAUGUAACGGGGCUAAGUCUGGUACCGAAGCUUCGGGUUCUAGUUUACUAGAGCGGUAGCGGAGCAUUCUCAGGUAGAUACAAGGUGUACCGUAAGGAGCACUGUCGGAUCUGAGAAGAGCUUAUGCAGGCAUGAGUAGCGAUAAACAGAGUGAGAAACUCUGUCGCCGUAAGCCCAAGGUUUCCUGGGGAAGGAUAAUCCGCCCAUGGGUUAGUCGGAACCUAAGCUGAGCCCGAAAGGGGUAGGUGAUGGCAAGCAGGUUAAUAUUCCAGCACCACCAUUGACGACGUUGAACUAAGCAGGGACGGAGAAGGAUAGGCUGAGCUCGCCGUUUGGUUGUGCGAGUUCAAGCGUGUAGGAGGGCGCCGUAGGACCCGAUAGGGACAAACGCGGAGUCAGUACUCCGAGACGUGAUGAGGUGGAGCUCCGGCUCCGUAACUCGGUGAUUCCAUGCUUCCAAGAAAAGCUGCGUAGUGAGUCCCAAUGGUGUCCGNNNNNNNNNNNNNNNNCGCGUGAGAGAACGCUGGCUAAGGAACUAGGCAAAUUGGUACCGUAACUUCGGGAGAAGGUACGCCUCUGCUGGUGAUGAGACUUGCUCUCGGAGCUGGCGGGGGUUGCAGAGACCAGGGGGUAGCGACUGUUUACUAAAAACACAGGACUCUGCGAACUCGUAAGAGGACGUAUAGGGUCUGACGCCUGCCCGGUGCUGGAAGGUUAAGGGGAGAUGUUAGCCCUCGGGCGAAGCUUUGAACCGAAGCCCCAGUAAACGGCGGCCGUAACUAUAACGGUCCUAAGGUAGCGAAAUUCCUUGUCGGGUAAGUUCCGACCUGCACGAAUGGCGUAACGACAUCCCCACUGUCUCGGCCAGGGACUCAGCGAAAUUGUACUGGGGGUGAAGAUACCCUCUACCCGCGGCAAGACGGAAAGACCCCGUGAACCUUUACUGCAACUUGGCAGUGAUUUUCGGAACAGUCUGCGUAGGAUAGGUGGGAGGCUUUGAAACCGGGUUUCUGGAUCUGGUGGAGCCACCCUUGAAAUACCACCCUGGCUGUUCUGGACUUCUAACCCAGGCCCGUUAUCCGGGUCGGGGACAGUGUCUGGUGGGUAGUUUGACUGGGGCGGUCGCCUCCCAAAAUGUAACGGAGGCGCGCGAAGGUUCCCUCAGGCUGAUUGGAAACCAGCCGAAGAGUGCAAAGGCAUAAGGGAGCUUGACUGCGAGACAGACAGGUCGAGCAGGUGCGAAAGCAGGCCUUAGUGAUCCGGUAACUCCAUAUGGAAGGGUUAUCGCUCAACGGAUAAAAGGUACUCCGGGGAUAACAGGCUGAUCGCGCCUGAGAGUUCAUAUCGGCGGCGCGGUUUGGCACCUCGAUGUCGGCUCAUCACAUCCUGGGGCUGGAGCAGGUCCCAAGGGUUUGGCUGUUCGCCAAUUAAAGUGGUACGCGAGCUGGGUUUAGAACGUCGUGAGACAGUUCGGUCCCUAUCUGCCGUGGGCGCAGGAUACUUGAGAGGAUCUGUCCCUAGUACGAGAGGACCUGGUUGGACGUACCUCUGGUGUGCCGGUUGUUCUGCCAAGAGCAUCGCCGGGUAGCUAUGUCCGGAACGGAUAACCGCUGAAAGCAUCUAAGCGGGAAGCCGGCCUCAAGAUGAGGUAUCCCGG
rnacentral:rRNA from 2 species